UAUUUAUGUUCAUUGCUCUAUCAUGUCAAAAACUUUAUACGUUCAAGUGCAGAGCAUGGUAUAUGAAUCAGAAGGAUUAAGUUGGUUUAAAAAGAUUAUGUGUUGCUCAGGAUUGGCAAAACACAAUUCUGCAAGCGCUUAAGCUACUAUCACAUUGGCUGUUAAACUAAUAUUCAUACGUGGCAUCUCAUCCGAAUGACAAAAGGAUUACUCGAAGGUUCGGUGGACCGAUGGAUGAGAAAUGGAGUUUCCGAAAGGCUCUUGGAGUGUUGCCUUGGAGGCU